CAUGGAACCGUCCGUCAUAAUCUAGAUCCUGUGUCGUAAGCUAGGUGGGCCUAGUAGCAAUCCAUUGUAUAAUGAAAUGGUACCUUUGGGAUCAGGACAAGUACAUUUGGGAUCGUGUCUGGAAGACACAAGCAUAUUGGAUAAACGUGGCAUUCACCUUUGCUGUGCCAACGCCCGUCCUUCAACUCACACCUAGGACAGCAGGGGGUGGAGGAGGGGAAUGUAUGACCUGUUUUCCACCGGCUAGAACUCACUGCAGAGGAAAGAGUUGACAGCUGGACUGACAAAAAGCUGGUCCUGUGCCUGCCAGGCAGUUUCUUUAUUUGGCCACCUGGUGCUGAGACAAGUCAGUGAAAUGGGGAUGGGUGGCGGGGGGGGGGGGGGGGGGGGGUAGAGCACAGUGGCAGAAGUGGAUCCUAAGCACGGGACAUGUAGCAUAAACUUCCUGUCAUCAAGUCUUACCUCGCUACUGCCAUUGAAACUUGAUAUUAUCCAUCUCUUUUCACUAGCAUAGAAGCUCCAUGAGUAUAGGUAUUUUCGUCUUUUGUUCAUCGUCCACCACCUGGAACGAUGCCUUGCAUAUAAUACGGUUUCAACAAAUGUUCAUUGAAUGAAUGAGUGAAUGAAUGAAUGAAUGAUAUGAUAUGAUUUGUUUAUGCAGCCAUCAAUAUCAAGAGGGCAGUCUGGGUGGGAGAAACAGCUUAUGCAGGGACCAGAAGGCAAGAAUUUACAGGCAUUGCUUAAGGAAUAAUGAUUUUUUUCCUUUAGAAUAAUUUGACUUGCAGGCUACUUUUUCUACAGAACCUUCAGUAAACCUCAUUGUACGACAGCUUACAAUCCGAAUGUUUUCAAAGGGAUGAAGGUGGAAUUCAGCCCGUAGGAAUUUCAUUUUGGCACAUACCAAAACUUUGCCCAACUUCAGAAAGGCUUCCAGAAUAACUCCUACCACUCCCUGACAGAACAUAUGGUGUCAUUAGACGGCUGAAUUGGACAAAAUACCCUGCUAUGAAGGGAAACCUAUCCUUUUCUUGUAUCACUCAACUUAGCUGAUACCAUUUCUCCAAACACACUGAUUAUUCACUUCUCCACAUUGCCUGGGCUAGCAAUUCCUUAGGCUACUAAUAACAGAACUUUAAUAAGGAUAAUCAAAAUAAUUUUUAGGGUUAAAAAAUUAAACACACAAGAGAAAAUCCAAGCUUCUAUAACUUAACUGUUUUCCAGAAUCCCCUAGCAGACGAUAGAUGUGAUAAGCCAUAGUAAAUUCUUUCAUGACAGCGUCUGUCAAAUGUUCUACGGCCUUGGAACAGAUCUGUCUUGUAUUUAUUUUUACUCAGGGACUACAUCUUCGGCAUUGUUCAGAAAUACCAGGUCAACUUGCAUUCCUUAAAGAACUACAUUUCUGUCAAAAAUUUAGCACACUGGCUCGAGACCCAUCAUCUGGUAAGAAGCAGAUUCUCUGUCCUCUAGGUUGGGUGGUGUUCCUCGAGUGGAGUUUGAGAGCUUGUCGGCCCUCUUGGAGGACGACGGGAUUGUUGACCUCCUGUAGCUAUGCCUCUGUUGGAGGCUGUGCUUUCAAACUGCCUUCCUCCUCUCUGGGCCCUUCUCCCUACCUGCCCCUCCUGUUUAACUCAGUUAAUUAAUCCCCAGGGCUCCUGAGAAGACUUACCACAUCUCCCCUUCCAUUCACCUUUUUGCAAGGCAGGAAGUACAAAUGAAUGUUGGCUAGAAUUGAUCAAUCCCGGGGUUAUUUCGUGAUGUAAUUCCAGACCCUUCCAAUAGAAAAAUGAAGUGGAAGGUUCUGAGGCCUUUAGCAGCCUAUUUGAGUCAGAGGUAUGGCAAAAUAAGACGGAACAAGGAUGAUAGGUAAGCUUUUAACAUUUCUCCAAUAGGAAGAAGUGCAUCUCAUCAUUUUUAUGGCAUUGGAUGGACAUUAUUGAAGCAAUAGCAUAUCUGUGUAUACCACACACGUUCUUAUGUACUUUACUUCAAAGGGAAAACGCAUGUCACUGUAAUGUGCUUAUUGGUUGGUAUGAUUCUCUUUACUUUGGCUAAGGCCCUAAAGAACAAAGGGCCAUCCUUCUGUAGCGAGGAGCCGUCAGUGGAUCAUUCAGCAUGGAAUAAUAAUUUCUUUCUGCAGCUAGAGCACUUGUGUGUAUUUUCGCUUGGUUACGUAAACUACUCUGGAAAUAUAAAAGUAAUUUGUAAAGGCAAAUUGUCCACUGUUGUUGCAAAGCACUCUGUGGGGCAAGCACAUAGCUCCUGCUUCCUGCCUAAGCGUUCUGAACAGAGACCUCCAAGAUCUCCAACAUUUAGAUCAAUCUGACUUUGUUUGUGGGUUUGGUUUGGCUGUGAGACAAAUACCUAACUUUUCUUCUAUUCCAUUCCUAUACCUCACAGACUGGAGGCAUUUCUCUUAAGCAAUAAAUAUCCACAUAGGGUUUUGUUUAUCAGUCAGUUGAACAAAUGGAAAGAUAUUGUUGGUUACUCAGUUACUUAUUAUUAACUGGCUUUAUUGUUAGACAUGGAGGAUAUUGUUAGUCAUGGACACACACACACACACACACACACACACUCAUGUCCAUUUUAAAGCUUUAAUGCUAGAGGUGAAUGUAGGGCUUUUGUAGUUUAAUUUAUUUUGCAAAUGGGGAGAUUAACUCCAACAUGAUGUAAAUUAUUUGCCCAAUGCGGGGUGCCUGGGUGGCUCAGUCGGUUGAGCAACCGACUUCGGCUCAGGUCACGAUCUCAUGGUUUGUGAGUUCGAGCCCCGGGUCGGGCUCUGUGCUGACAGCUCAGAGCCUGGAGCCUGCUUCGGAUUCUGUGUCUCCCUCUCUCUCUGCUCCUCCCCCACUCAUGCUCUCUCUCUGUCUCAGAAAUAAAUAAACAUUAAAAAAAAUUUUUUUAAUUAUUUGCCCAAUGCUUUAGAACUAAUUGGCCAUAAGGUCAGAAUUAGGACCCAGGCUUCCGGACUCCAGUAGUGUUUUUCUCCAAUCUAUGGGCAGGGAAAAUGGAAACCAUGACCUCAGAUGACUUAAUUCUUCAGAGAGCCUUCUUACAUCAUGAUGUUAUUAGACCAAUAAAGAUACAAGCAUUCGUUCUUAUUAUUGUCUCUCCUUUUUUCAUCUCUGCUUUUGGAUGUAUCUAAGUAAAUGUCCUCAGGACAGCCAUCAGAUUGUGGCUCCCUUCUUAGAUAUUGGUGGUAACAGCAUUCAAGGUUUAGAAUUUAAGGUAUAUGAGAUCCAGAAAUAUUCCUCCGGUAAGAGACUUUUGUAAGAAAACACAAUGAUUUUUGAUGUAAUAACUGUUAACAUGGCUGUUAUCAAACUUGACAACACACUAGUAAAAUUUCUACCUAACCAUAUCACCCAGAUAUUCAGUCUUCUUUGCAGAACAGGGCACAUUUGUAUCCAUUUUGGCCAUUUCAGAAACAUCAAUAAUUCUGAGUGUAACCAUGCUCAGUUUCCCUCAGUCAGAGAGUUGAUAGGUAUUUAAAGGUUGGGAAAUAUUGGGGGGUGGGGGAAAGGGAGGCCAUCCUCAGAGCUUAAGUGUAAACUUGACGGAGAGACAGAAAGACUAUUAGGAUAGACACCAAAAAGUUAAAGGAGAGUACAUGGGUGUGCAGACAUUAUUGUCCUUCGCCAACCAUCACGUUGAGUUUACUUAUCAAAAGUAAAAGAGCGGGGCACCUGGGUGGCUCAGUCAGUUGAGCGUCUUGAUUUUGACUCAGGUCAUGAUCUCACAGUUGUGGGAUGGAGUCCCGCAUCUGGCUAGGCACUGAAGGAGGAGACUGCUUGGGAUCCUCUCUCUCCCUCUCUCUCUGCCCCUUCCCCACUCACACGUGCUCUCUCUCUUUCAAUAUACAUAAACAAGCAUUCAAAAAAAAUUGAAGAGAAGGGCCAUCUACAUUCAAGGAAUAUUCUAUCCUUAAACUUCAAGAGGGGCGCCUGGGUGGCUCAGUUGGUUAAGUGUCCAACUUCCAACUUCGGCUCAGGUCAUGAUCUCACAGUGAGUGAGUUCGAGUCCCGCGUUGGGAUCUGUGCUGACAGCUCAGAGCCUGGAACCUGCUUCGGAUGCUGUGUCUCCCUGUCUCUCUGCCCUUCUCCUGCUUGCACUCUGUGUCUCCCUCUCUCUAAAUAAAUAAAUAAACAACAACAACAACAACAAAACUUCAAGAAAUAAAAUAUAUGGUGGUUGUGAAUUUAAAGAUCUUGGUGGCUAUGUUCUCAGAUGGUAUUAGUUUUGUUCAUACUAGGCUAUCUUUGUGAUUGCUGGGAACUUUCCAGAAAAUGUAGUAUUUAGGAAUUUCAGUAGGUCUUAUCUAUUUUCUCAUGAAAGAGCAGAUUAUGGUUAUUUCUUCAGGCAUGUAUGUUACAUCCUUCUAAAAAUAAACUACAGAAUUUCCUGUUAUGUAAAACAUAUAUAUUAAAAAGGGAGAAAAAUCCUUUUUCCAGCUAACAUUUUUCUGCUCAAACUUGUAUUUUUUCCUAGGCAUUCAUUCCUUUAUUUAUAUACUAAUUAAUUCCCCCCAAAAAGACAGUUUACCAUCGAACUAUGCUCUUCUUUAGCAAUAGUUAAAUCUCUAGUUUAUGAAAACCAGAACUUAUAUAAUCAGGCAAGAAUAUGUAACAAACCAGAAAGACUGAUGUGAGUUAGAGUUUGGAACUAGUUUUGGAGAUAGUUUUAUCAGAACAUCUAAAGCACAUUUUAGCACAAGACUCUAACUCCCGUUUUGUGAACGGAGAGGCACUCCACGUGUCAUUAAUUUUCCUGAAAGACAUUUCUUGCCCUAAAAUUUAUUUCUCUACCUCUCCGCUUUUUCCAACAGGUUCAAGAUGCUGACUUUGUCAAUAGUGUGGGGCCUGAGAAUCUGCCUUAUAAGAGAGCACCCUGGACAUUUCUAAACCAGGCUGCAGAGAGACAGGCACUCCCCAAGGGAAAUAGUCUCCUAACUCUUCUCCUCAAAA
rnacentral:lncRNA from 1 species